AGCUCGCAUUCGCUACUCAAUCUGAGCACAAAGCCAGAGCUCCCAAUCGCCAUUCAAAUUUGUCUCACUCUCUCUUCACUCUCUCCAUCCAGCUCACUCCUCACUCUCUCCUCUUUUGUUGAGCUUCCAUCUUUCUCGUCAGGCGAAAUCUUGGUCACAACUUUGUCGUCGGAAUCUCGCGGCCUUCUCGUCGGAAGCUCUUCUCUUUUGUAGAGCUGUAGCCGUUCUCAUCAGGCGAAAUCUGGGCACAACUUUCUCGUCGGAAGCGUCGGAAGAUCUCGGCCAUUGUAGAGCUUGGACCCCUCUUCGGAACCCAUCUCUGCUAGCCAGCUGCGCCUCUCUUCCCCCUCCCAAUUUGCCACUUUUACAACCACAACAGGACUCCCCAACCAAUUUUGUGUCCCAUUUGCACUGCACAUUUUCUUUCACUUGGCAAAUGGCUUUCAAAUUCGUGGCUGUGCUCUGUUGCUUAGAAACAGCAUAAGGUAUGAAUUUCUUUUUUUUUCUGAUUUUCUUUUAUUUUUCUGGGGUUUUUCUUUUCUGAAUUGAAUUGGCUUUUCUGAUUUGGCAAUUUAUUGGGCGUUGUUGUUGUUUCGGCUUGUUGUAUUUGCUUUUCUGAUUUGGCAAUUUUUCGGUUUGUCUCUUAUUCGUGGCCGUUGGUGUAAUUUGUUGAUGCAUUUGGUCUCCUGUUUGAGGACUGUUGCGGUUGCAUCCACAUACUUUUUCUUUUAUUUUGAUUAAUUUUGCUGGAGGUUAGCAGUUAGCUAUUGCUUUCAUGUGGAGGCAGCAUGGGAUUAACGUGGAUCAAUAUUGUA
rnacentral:lncRNA from 1 species